rnacentral:rRNA from 1 species
CCUANGGGAGGCAGCAGUCGAGAAUCUUUCACAAUGGGGGCAACCCUGAUGGAGCGACGCCGCGUGGAGGAUAAGGUCUUCGGAUUGUAAACUCCUGUCAUGCGAGAGCAAAGCCAGCAAUGGUCUGAUAGUAUCGCAAGAGGAAGAGACGGCUAACUCUGUGCCAGCAGCCGCGGUAAUACAGAGGUCUCAAGCGUUGUUCGGAAUCACUGGGCGUAAAGGGUGCGUAGGUGGCGCGGAAAGUCAGAUGUGAAAUCCGGGGGCUCAACCUCCGAAUUGCAUCCGAUACUCCCGUGCUAGAGAACUGGAGGGGAGUCUGGAAUUCUCGGUGUAGCAGUGAAAUGCGUGGAUAUCGAGAGGAACACUAGUGGCGAAGGCGAGACUCUGGACAGUUUCUGACACUGAUGCACGAAGGCUAGGGGAGCAAACGGGAUUAGAUACCCCANUANUC